UGGUGGAGUGAUUUGUCUGGUUAAUUCCGAUAACGAACGAGACUCUGUCCUGCUAACUAGGUUGUGUUUUCUCGGGUUGGUGUUUCUGGUGUUCCUUCGCGGGGCGCCGGCCCAAUCCACUUGUGAACACAACACUCUUCUUAGAGGGACUGGCGGCUGUUAGCCGCACGAGAUAGAGCAAUAACA
rnacentral:rRNA from 1 species